rnacentral:rRNA from 1 species
CAAGCGGUGGAGCAUGUGGUUUAAUUCGAAGCUACGCGAAGAACCUUACCAGGUCUUGACAUCCCACUGACCGGUAUAGAGAUAUACCUUUCCCUUCGGGGACAGUGGUGACAGGUGGUGCAUGGUUGUCGUCAGCUCGUGUCGUGAGAUGUUGGGUUAAGUCCCGUAACGAGCGCAACCCUUGAUCUUAGUUGCCAGCAUUAAGUUGGGCACUCUAAGGUGACUGCCGGUGAUAAACCGGAGGAAGGUGGGGAUGACGUCAAAUCAUCAUGCCCCUUAUGACCUGGGCUACACACGUGCUACAAUGGAUGGUACAGAGGGUUGCCAACCCGCGAGGGGGAGCUAAUCCCAGAAAACCAUUCCCAGUUCGGAUUGCAGGCUGCAACUCGCCUGCAUGAAGCCGGAAUCGCUAGUAAUCGUGGAUCAGCAUGCCACGGUGAAUACGUUCCCGGGUCUUGUACACACC